AAACCGGAGCUAAUACCGAUAAUAUAUUGAACCGCAUGGUUCAAUGGUGAAAGACGGUUUUGCUGUCACUUAUAGAUGGAUCCGCGCCGCAUUAGCUAGUUGGUAAGGUAACGGCUUACCAAGGCAACGAUGCGUAGCCGACCUGAGAGGGUGAUCGGCCACACUGGAACUGAGACACGGUCCAGACUCCUACGGGAGGCAGCAGCG
rnacentral:rRNA from 1 species